rnacentral:rRNA from 1 species
UACAGAGGUCCCAAGCGUUGUUCGGAUUCACUGGGCGUAAAGGGCGCGUAGGUGGCGACCCAAGUCUGUGGUGAAAGCUCGCCGCUUAACGGCGAGUCGGCCACGGAUACUGGGUGGCUCGAGCACUGUAGGGGCAGAUGGAAUUCCGGGUGUAGCGGUGGAAUGCGUAGAGAUCCGGAAGAACACCGGUGGCGAAGGCGGUCUGCUGGGCAGUAGCUGACACUGAGGCGCGACAGCGUGGGGAGCAAACAGG